rnacentral:rRNA from 1 species
UACGAAGGGGGCUAGCGUUGCUCGGAAUCACUGGGCGUAAAGCGCGCGUAGGCGGCGCGAGCAAUCGAUCGUGAAAGUCCGGAGCUCAACUCCGGAUCGGCGGUCGAUACUCUCGUGCUUGAGCACUGUAGAGGCAGAUGGAAUUCCGGGUGUAGCGGUGGAAUGCGUAGAGAUCCGGAAGAACACCGGUGGCGAAGGCGGU